CAGUAGCCACGGUAAUACGUAGGGUGCGAGCGUUAAUCGGAAUUACUGGGCGUAAAGCGUGCGCAGGCGGUUGUGUAAGACAGGUGUGAAAUCCCCGGGCUUAACCUGGGAACUGCGCUUGUGACUGCACAGCUAGAGUAUGGCAGAGGGGGGUGGAAUUCCACGUGUAGCAGCGAAAUGCGUAGAGAUGUGGAGGAACACCGAUGGCGAAGGCAGCCCCCUGGGCCAACACUGACGCUCAUGCCCGAAAGCGUGGGGAGCAAACAGGAUUAGAUACCCCCGUAGUCCCUGUCUCUUAUAC
rnacentral:rRNA from 1 species